UACAGGGGGUGCAAACGUUGCUCGGAAUUAUUGGGCGUAAAGAGCUCGUAGGCGGUUUGUCGCGUCUGCUGUGAAAACCUAAGGCUCAACCUUGGGCUUGCAGUGGGUACGGGCAGACUAGAGUGCGGUAGGGGUGACUGGAAUUCCUGGUGUAGCGGUGGAAUGCGCAGAUAUCAGGAGGAACACCGAUGGCGAAGGCAGGUCACUGGGCCGCAACUGACGCUGAGGAGCGAAAGCGUGGGUAGCAAACAGG
rnacentral:rRNA from 1 species